rnacentral:rRNA from 1 species
AUUGAACGCUGGCGGCAGGCCUAACACAUGCAAGUCGAGCGGUAGAGAGGUGCUUGCAUCUCUUGAGAGCGGCGGACGGGUGAGUAAUGCCUAGGAAUCUGCCUAGUGGUGGGGGAUAACGUUCGGAAACGGACGCUAAUACCGCAUACGUCCUACGGGAGAAAGCGGGGGAUCUUCGGACCUCGCGCCAUUAGAUGAGCCUAGGUCGGAUUAGCUAGUUGGUGAGGUAAUGGCUCACCAAGGCGACGAUCCGUAACUGGUCUGAGAGGAUGAUCAGUCACACUGGAACUGAGACACGGUCCAGACUCCUACGGGAGGCAGCAGUGGGAUAUUGGACAAUGGCGGAAGCCUGAUCCAGCCAUGCCGCGUGUGUUGAAGAAGGUC